UGGGGAAUUUUGCACAAUGGGGGAAACCCUGAUGCAGCGACGCCGCGUGAUUUAGAAGGCCUUCGGGUUGUAAAAAUCUUUUCUAUGGGAAGAAAAUGACAGUACCAUAGGAAUAAGGACCGGCUAAUUACGUGCCAGCAGCCGCGGUAAUACGUAAGGCCCGAGCGUUGUGCGGAAUCAUUGGGCGUAAAGGGUACGUAGGCGGGUAAGCAAGUUAGAAGUGAAAUCCUAUAGCUCAACUAUAGUAAGCUUUUAAAACUGCUCAUCUUGAGGUAUGGAAGGGAGGGUGGAAUUCCUGGUGUAGCGGUGAAAUGCGCAGAUAUUAGGAGGAGUACCGGUGGCGAAGGCGACUUUCUGGCCAUAGCCUGACGCUGAGGUACGAAAGCGUGGGUAGCAAACAGG
rnacentral:rRNA from 1 species